ncrna:unclassified sequences L13-Bacteroidia ribosomal protein leader
GGGGAUACACUUAGAACCCCAGGAAAGGCGUGUUAAUAGCGGUGCUUUUGGCCAGGCACAGCGGUUAGUGAAUC